GAGAGGGCCCAGGUCACCGCAGAUGGACCCACAGCAGCCGGGGCCCUGGCCCCUGCCCACCACCCCCACCGGGUGGGCCUGGAGCCGGGAGGGGUGGGGAGGGGAGGGGGUCCCGCUUCCCACUGACCGGCUCCAGGAAAGACGCAGUCCGUCCCCCUGCAGCAGAGUGCGGAGUUAAAGGUGCAGGCCCUGGACCAGGCCGCUUCCUUGCUGUGUGACCUUAGGCAAAUCGCUUAACUUCUCUGAACCUCAGUUCCCUCGUCAUAACACCUCCCUCCGGGUAAGCACUCAUUUCCUGGCACCCUUCAAGGUCCCUCUGAGAGCGGUGAUCAGACAGCACCUCCUCCACACAGCAGCCCCUCAGCCUUGACACCCCACCCGCCCCUCUCAGCCCUACAGCCCCUACGGCCCCGAGGACUGAGUCCUACGGCUAUCCUGACUCAGAGCAAAGGCUCAGGGGUAUGGGAGGCUUCCUGUCCUCCCCACCCUGUCCCCUGCCCCCCCCCCGAUCUCAAGAACCUUCUAUGGCUCCCCACUGCCCUCAGGAUAAAAUCUGAAAACCUCAGUCUCAAGUUCUGGCUCUGAUGACACCUCCAGCCUCUUUCCUUCAAACACCCUUGGAUGCCUUCAAGGAGCCCCUUCUCACCGCCCAGCCUCCAGCCCAGCCCACUGCCUUCCCGCCCAGCCCGGCCCAGCGGGGCGGAGCCUGCCCGGGGCGGGGGGCUGGGCACGAAGACUUGCCUGCCCCCUUCCCACCUUCCCACGCGCGGCACGUUCCACGCCAGCCCGAGCCGGGCAGGACUGGGGCAGCCCGAGUUUCUGCCGGCCCACUGUCCUGGGCUUCCAGGGCCUGCGCAGGGGUAUGGACGCUGCCCACCCCCGCUGCCCACCCCCGCUGCUCGUGGCUCAGUUCGUCCCCCUGAGAGCCCCGGGGCUGGUCUGCUGCCUUGCUACAGGUUAAGAUGAAAGAUUUAAGCUCGAGAUGCGUUCCAGGGCCACCGGCUCCCCGCACAGAACAGAGGCCAGGAGACGCCCGAGACUCUGUGACCAGGCCGAGCCACCGUCCCCAGCCCAAGACAAAGCUGCUCGUGUGCCAUCAGCAAGCGUGGUUCCCAGCUCGCAAAGGGCUCCCUGGAACGGCCCAUCGCCCCUCCUGGUCGGACAAACGCAUUGCCGUCCAAGCCCGCCCUCAUUUCUC